GACGAACGCUGGCGGCGCGCUUAACACAUGCAAGUCGAACGGAAAGGCUCUGAUUUUGCGGGGUGCUCGAGUGGCGAACGGGUGUGUAACACGUGAGUAACCUGCCCUUGACUUUGGGAUAACUUCAGGAAACUGGGGCUAAUACCGGAUAGGAGCUCCUGCUGCAAGGUGGGGGAUGGAACGUUUCGGCGGUUGGGGAUGGACUCGCGGCUUAUCAGCUUGUUGGUGUGGUAGUGGCUUACCAAGGCUUUGACGGGUAGACUGCCUGAGUUGGUGACCGGCCACGUUGGGACUGAGAUACGGCCCAGACUCCUACGGUACGCAGCAGUGGGGUGUAUUGCACAGUAGGCGGAAGCCUGAUGCAGCGACGCCGCGUGCGGUAAGACGGGCUGCGGGUUGUAAACCACUGUCGCCUGAGACGAAGCGUGAGUGACGGUAAUGUGUAAAGAAGCACCGGCUAACUACGUG
rnacentral:rRNA from 1 species